rnacentral:rRNA from 1 species
UCCAGUGACGAAAGCGGAGAGGUCACACCCGUUCCCAUGCCGAACACGGAAGUUAAGCUCUCCAGCGCCAAUGAUAGUUGGGGGCUCUCCCCCUGCAAAAGUAGGACGUCGCUGGAU